UACAGGGGGGGCAAGCGUUGUUCGGAAUUACUGGGCGUAAAGGGCUCGUAGGCGGCCAACUACGUCCGACGUGAAAUCCCAAAGCUUAACUUUGGAACUGCGUCGGAUACUGGAUGGCUUGAAUUCGGGAGAGGGAUGCAGAAUUCCAGGUGUAGCGGUGAAAUGCGUAGAUAUCUGGAGGAAUACCGGUGGCGAAGGCGGCAUCCUGGACCGACAUUGACGCUGAGGAGCGAAAGCUAGGGGAGCAAACGGG
rnacentral:rRNA from 1 species